AUUGAACGCUGGCGGCAGGCCUAACACAUGCAAGUCGAAUGGUAACAGGAAACAGCUUGCUGUUUCGCUGACGAGUGGCGGACGGGUGAGUAAUGUCUGGGAAACUGCCUGAUGGAGGGGGAUAACUACUGGAAGCGGUAGCUAAUACCGCAUAACGUCGCAAGACCAAAGAGGGGGACCUUCGGGCCUCUUGCCAUCAGAUGUGCCCAGAUGGGAUUAGCUAGUAGGUGGGGUAACGGCUCACCUAGGCGACGAUCCCUAGCUGGUCUGAGAGGAUGACCAGCCACACUGGAACUGAGACACGGUCCAGACUCCUACGGGAGGCAGCAGUGGGGAAUAUUGCACAAUGGGCGCAAGCCUGAUGCAGCCAUGCCGCGUGUAUGAAGAAGGCCUUCGGGUUGUAAAGUACUUUCAGCGGGGAGGAAGGGAGUAAAGUUAAUACCUUUGCUCAUUGACGUUACCCGCAGAAGAAGCACCGGCUAACUCCGUG
rnacentral:rRNA from 1 species